CACCACCAGAAAAAGAAAGAAACACUGGGCAGAGUCUCCCCCCGCCCCCUCAGUAGUGCUGGCCUGGAAAAGGAACAAUAUAAAGCCAAUUUGGCCCCACAGAGAAAGGACAGCAAACUCUGUCACUCCCAAGGUAACUGGGGCAGGGUACCAAGAGAACCCUCUAUGACUGGGAGAGGAGCAGGAAAUUCCGACCAAGACCAUUACAAGUAUCCUACUUCUUGGGGGGGAGGGCAGAAUCGCCCAGAAAGAUCUACCCCCAAGAUUCAAGAAAAAUAUCCCCUAAGACUGAGGCUGAACCAAGAAAACAGAAAACUUACCACCACCAGGUUAGAAAACAUCCAGGAACAAGAAACAGUCAGGUAUAACUCAGAGUGUGGUAGUGAUGGGUCCUGAGAAAAGCUAAGGCAAGAGUCAAGCAGAAACACUGAGAAAAGCCUGCCCUUUGAGCCCUGAAUGCAAGGAAAUUCCAGAGGAAUUUGAAGAUAAAGUUACCUAAGGUAACCAUAGC
rnacentral:lncRNA from 1 species